GAUGCUAUUGAAGGGUCUUUCCAUCAAUGGAGGGAUAAACGACCUGUUAAGUCAUUGGUUGUUGGUAGACCAAUUUUGCUUGCCCUCGAAGACAUUGAUGGAGGUCCAUCAUUCCUAGAGAAAGCUCUUCGAUUUCUUGAGAAAUUUGGAACUAAAGUUGAAGGAAUUUUGCGACAAUCUGCUGAUGUUGAGGAGGUUGAACG
rnacentral:misc_RNA from 1 species